CAGUCGCCACGGUAAUACGUAGGGCGCAAGCGUUAUCCGGAAUUAUUGGGCGUAAAGAGCUCGUAGGCGGUUUGUCGCGUCUGCUGUGAAAUCCCGAGGUUGAGCCUCGGGCCUGCAGUGGGUACGGGCAGACUAGAGUGCGGUAGGGGAGAUUGGAAUUCCUGGUGUAGCGGUGGAAUGCGCAGAUAUCAGGAGGAACACCGAUGGCGAAGGCAGAUCUCUGGGCCGUAACUGACGCUGAGGAGCGAAAGGGUGGGGAGCAAACAGGCUUAGAUACCCGCGUAGUCCCUGUCUCUUAUAC
rnacentral:rRNA from 1 species